rnacentral:SRP_RNA from 1 species
GCCGGGCGUGGUGGCGUGUGCCUGUAAUCCCAGCUACUAGGGGGCACUGAGGCAGGAGAAUUGCUUGAACCCAGGAGGUGGAGGUUACAGUGAGCCCAGAUGGCGCCACUGCACUCCCGCCUGGGCAACAAAGGGAGACUCUGUCUCAA